AUUGAACGCUGGCGGCAGGCUUAACACAUGCAAGUCGAGCGGGGUGAUGGUGCUUGCACUAUCACUUAGCGGCGGACUGGUGAGUAAUGCUUAGGAAUCUGCCUAUUGGUGGGGGACAACAUCUCGAAAGGGAUGCUAAUACCGCAUACGUCCUACGGGAGAAAGCAGGGGAUCACUUGUGACCUUGCGCUAAUAGAUGAGCCUAAGUCGGAUUAGCCAGUUGGUGGGGUAAAGGCCUACCAAGGCGACGAUCUGUAGCGGGUCUGAGAGGAUGAUCCGCCACACUGGGACUGAGACACGGCCCAGACUCCUACGGGAGGCAGCAGUGGGGAAUAUUGGACAAUGGGGGGAACCCUGAUCCAGCCAUGCCGCGUGUGUGAAGAAGGCCUUAUGGUUGUAAAGCACUUUAAGCGAGGAGGAGGCUCUUUUGGUUAAUACCCAAGAUAAGUGGACGUUACUCGCAGAAUAAGCACCGGCUAACUCUGUGCCAGCCGCCGCCGUAA
rnacentral:rRNA from 1 species